rnacentral:rRNA from 1 species
GUAGGGAAUAUUGCACAAUGGGCGAAAGCCUGAUGCAGCAACGCCGCGUGCACGAUGAAGGCCUUCGGGUCGUAAAGUGCUUUUCUGUAGGACGAGAGAGGACGGUACUGCAGGAAUAAGGAUCGGCUAACUACGUGCCAGCAGCCGCGGUAACACGUAGGAUCCGAGCGUUAUCCGAAUUCACUGGGCGUAAAGCGCUUGCAGGCGGCUGGGUAAGUUGGAUGUAAAAUCUUCUGGCUCAACUGGGAGAUGCCGUUCAAGACUGCCUGGCUAGAGGGCGAUAGAGGGAGGUGGAAUUCCCGGUGUAGUGGUGAAAUGCGUAGAUAUCGGGAGGAACACCAGAGGCGAAAGCGGCCUCCUGGAUCGCAACUGACGCUGAGAAGCGAAAGCUAGGGGAGCAAACGGGAUUAGAAACCCCAGUAGUCC